CUUUCUUGUAGUUUGGAGACCUAAUAGACCCCGAGGCUUGGUGGGUGGUUCUCUCCUGCUAACUUCUAAAGUUGAAGCUAAGGGGAUCAUUAUUUAUCUGGAGACUAUAAGGCUGUGCUGUCCAGUAUGGUAGUCACCAGCCUCAUGUGGCUGUUGAGAACUUGAAAUGUGGCUAGUCCGGAUCGAGAUGUGCUCUGAAUACAGACAAUAUGGAGGCCUCAGGCUCAGAGGAUGGCAGAGUCUUCAGAUGGAUGGAGGGAGCUGCAGUCACUGAACCACUGCAGGGAGAGAAGUACUCACAGACCAGGAACGCUCAACUUGGACUGUUAUGUGACAGAAAGAACUUGAUGUAUACCUCCUGACCUGUUCAUCUUGUAGCUGCCUCUUGACAGAUAUAAGAGGCCGCCCUGUAGAGGAGGAAGGAGGAAGUUGGCUGUGAUUGACCUUGCUAGGUCAUCUUCCUAAUCUUUGUCCUUUCCUGCACCCCAAAUGGAAGAUAAAAGGCAAUGCAAGAUCAGCAUCCUCAGAGACAUCGUUUUGUUUGGGUUUCAUGGAUUGCAAUUGCCAGAGAUGCUUAGGCUGCCUCUAGAGGGAAGAUGAUUGAUUGUUAACCUAUGUGGUCCAACCAAAUGUCUUAGGGGUUAUUGAUAAUUAAAAUGGACAAUAGCGAUUUUCCAUUUCUUCUGGCCUUGGGUGCUGGCAUGUGGAAGUGGUAUUGAUACUCAUGACCAAAUAGGCACUUAUCGAUUUCAGUUUUCAUAAGUUGCCUACCAAAUGCAAACUAGUAACCCAGACGUGGGAGACCUAAUAUUCCAUUGUUAAUCUUUAGGUCCAUAAUUUUUAUUUCCUCUACUUGCCUCUUCUUCCUUCCUCUGCAUAAUGAGUUGGGCUUAUAUAAUUGCACCCAUUUACUCACUCAUUCGUUCAAUCAAUUAUUUGUUCCUAUUUUAUGCCAAGUAAUGAACAGAAGGUGUUGGGGAUGCAAAACCCAACUAAUUGGAAUUUCUAUGUUACAGGAGCUUAUGCUUUAGUGAAAUUAUAGACAAAUUAUUAUACAGUUUUAAUCCAGAAUAGUAAGUGCUAUGGGAGCAUGCACAGAGGAAACAACCCAAUCUUAAGGAAUCAGGAAGGUUUGCAGAGGACUGACAGGAAAAGUGGGCAGGUGAAGAAGAUGGGCAGUGAGAGGAGGAGUGGAAGCACUUUUGCUAGGGAAAAACAUGAAUAAAAGGGAUAAUUUUCUGCUCUUACCCCUGGGUGAUCUUUGCGUGGUACUGUCCAUCACAGUUGGGAGAGACGGCUCCUCAGAGCUGCUCCACACUGUUCACAGAGGAUGCCAUUCCAAGGAAACUGGGGAAUAGGGAAAGUCUUUAGCUUAUUCCUCUUUGAGGUUUGUUUGAGAUGCAGUUUCUUCAAUAUUUUGAGUCUAUGAAAACAUGUUGUAUACUUAAAUAUAUACCACAAAAAAUAAAAAAAAUUGCGAUUUAAA
rnacentral:lncRNA from 10 species